rnacentral:miRNA from 1 species
AUUCACUGGACGGCAAUGGGCU